AUUCUGAUGCCACAUUCAAGACAU
rnacentral:siRNA from 1 species